GAAUGAACGUUUUCAUCUCGAUUAGGUUAAUAAUUUCAAAUUGUGUAUAUUUUCAGGUUAUCUAUGUUUCACUAUUGAGAGCGAGAUAUGGUACGCGCGUAAUAUAAUGAAAGCUGAAACGGUACAGUGAAAAACGUCAGGUGCCAUUCGUUAACGGUUUCGCUAAGAGUAUCAGCAAUUCAAGAUUAAAUAUUUUUAUGAGAUUAUACUAAUUUUCUAUCAUAUUAAAAUGUAAUAUAUUUUGUAAGCUGU